GAUGAACGCUGGCGGCGUGCCUAAUACAUGCAAGUCGAGCGAACAGACGAGGAGCUUGCUCCUCUGACGUUAGCGGCGGACGGGUGAGUAACACGUGGAUAACCUACUUAUAAGACUGGGAUAACUUCGGGAAACCGGAGCUAAUACCGGACAAUAGAUUGAACCGCAUGUUUCAAUAGUGAAAGACGGUUUUCCUUUCACUUAUAGAUGGAUCCGCGCCGCAUUAGCUAGUUGGUAAGGUAACGGCUUACCAAGGCAACGAUGCGUAGCCGACCUGAGAGGGUGAUCGGCCACACUGGAACUGAGACACGGUCCAGACUCCUACGGGAGGCAGCAGUGGGGAAUCUUCCGCAAUGGGCGAAAGCUUGACGGAGCAACGCCGCGUGAGUGAUGAAGGUCUUCGGAUCGUAAAACUCUGUUAUUAGGGAAGAACAAAUGUGUAAGUAACUAUGCACGUCUUGACGGUACCUAAUCAGAAAGCCACGGCUAACUACGUG
rnacentral:rRNA from 1 species